rnacentral:rRNA from 1 species
CAGUCGCCGCGGUAAUACGAGGGGUGCAAGCGCUAUUCGGAUUGAUUGGGUGUAAAGGGUGUGCAGACGGCUUAUUAAGUCACUUGUUAAAUUCUUCGGCCUAACUGAAGGUCUGCAAGUGAUACUGAUGAGCUAGAGGGUGGAAGAGAGAAGUGGAAUUCUCGGAGUAGCGGUAAAAUGCGUAGAUCUCGAGAGGAACACCAAUGGCGAAGGCAGCUUCUUGGUCCAUUCCUGACGUUCAUACACGAAAGCGUGGGGAGCAAACAGGAUUAGAGACCCCAGUAGUCCCUGUCUCUUAUAC